ACUCUAAUAGUUUAUAA
rnacentral:tRNA from 1 species